AUCACUUUUCUCUGCAGCAGAAAUUAAUACAACAUUGUAAAUCAACUACACUUCAAUUAAAAAAGAAAUUUUAAAAAGUAAAAAAAUAAAUCAACAACACACAGAAGUUUUAAUAUCGGGCAAGUAAACAGCCUUGUUAAACAGGGCUUCUGCUGUCAUUUCAACUUUGGGAGGAGAUAUUGCCAGUCCAAGGAACCCCCACCCCCGCCCUGGAAAGCCCCUAAACAGCACACAGAGUCUCCGCCAUAAUGUCAGCACGAACCCCGAGACCCCCAAGCCACCUCUGGGCUGAGGGAAGGGGAGAGAGCAAAAUUGGGUAAGAGUUUGGGGCUUUGAUAUUCAAGUGAACUGGCUUUUUACGAUAGAAGAUGGGGCUUUUCUUUUUUUUAAAUACAUGAGUAAGUGGAAAGCUAUGGAACCUCCCUGCGGAGAACCACAAGUUGUUCGAGAAUCUUCUAAACCUCUGCUUGCGCCCCCUGCGGUAGCGCAUCAAAUGGAUGGAUUCCAGCUGUUGGGGAUAAGAACCCCUAUGUCUUUGAAGUAGCCCCCCCAUGUCCCUGUUUCUACCAGUCCGCUGCCUCUGGUAGUCCUGGUGCUCAGUAGGGGCCCGAGGCAGUCAGCAAACGUUUGUAAGUGGAGUGAAAGGGGAUCCUCAGGCAGCUGGGUGUGGGGCAUUCAGGACACCUGGCGAAGGUCAGGGGAGCAAGACAGCAGAGAUGAAGGAGUGAACGCCCGUGGGAAUGACAGCUUUGGGAGGGGAGCCGUGGCUGUGUGCAUUGGUGGGAGCUCCCAAACAGAUCAGAUCAUCUUCUGGGCUCACCUCAAGCUUGGGCUUGCUUCUCCCCAAGGGACCACAUCCUGCACCCAGGCCUCCUCACAGGGUCCCUGUUGCCCAUGGGAUAUGGGGAGUCAGAAAUACGGUUUUAUGUAAAGGAGCCUGAGUAGAAACUGUGUUUUAUUCCUGGUCCUGUCCUCCACCAGCCCGCACUUGGUAAAAAACUUUCUGUUUAAUUCAUCAACUGGCAGGGUGGGGUAAGGUCUAUUUAGCUCUCCAUUUGGCUGUACUUCAGGAUUACCUGAGCCACUAUUAAAACUCCCAGUGCCCAGACUCCACGCUGGACCCAUUACAUCAGAAUUUCUGGGGGUGGGAGUGUCAAGAAAACCUUUUAAAGAUCCUCUCCUUUGCCCACCCCCUACAACUGAUACCCGUAAGCAGAGCUAGGAUGAGAGCCGGGAAUAUUCCUACAUUCUGGCUGCCUCUCCUGGCCUAACCCCGGCCCCCGCUCUGACCCCUCAGGGCUCUCUCAAACCACUAAUCUGGGGCUUAAUAAGCAGGGGUGAGGCUUGGGUGAUCCCUGCCACCUGCGAGGCUGCCUCUGGCUGUGAAGGAUGUAACAGGGUCACCAGCAGCGCGGGCUGACCCCUCACACGUGCAAUUUACGAGGCAAAAAUUUCUCUGUUCAUAAAAAAGUCCCAUGUUCCUGUCACGAAGGGCGGAUUCUUUACCAGCUGAGCCACAAGGGAAAGCCCAGUGGCAGGCUCAAGGGCCUCCAUUACUCCGCCCCUGCAACCCGAUGUGGCUCGGUCCUCUGCUCCAGUGCACCAAAGGUACCUACUCUCCGCGAAAAAUGGCCAACUGCUGACUGACCAGCUGGUUUGUCUUCCGGCCAGAGUGCUGCAGUGGAGCCAGAGUGCCUGCGUUAUGACUUCAGGGAGCGAGCCCUCUGUCUUUGGAUGCCCCUCCAUGGUUCCACUUUGUACUUCUAUGACCCAGCACUGCCUGGUCAAGAAAGUGACUAGUGUGUGACUUGUACUGUAGAGCUUACGAAGCACCCUCACAUAAUCGCUAAUGCGGGCCUCCCAACAAGGAAAUGAUGUGUGCAUCAUCCCCACGUCAGGGUUGUGGGAAGUGAGGCUAAAGGUAUGAAGCACCAUGUCUGAGAUGCAAGUGGGCCUUAAUAUGGAUCUUCCAAUGUUGGAGCCUAUAAUGUUCUUUCCAUUAAAUACCUUUCCACCAAUUUGUAACA